rnacentral:rRNA from 1 species
GUCUACGGCCAUACCACCCUGAACGCGCCCGAUCUCGUCUGAUCUCAGAAGCUAAGCAGGGUCGGGCCUGGUUAGUACUUGGAUGGAAGAGACCAUCUCUCCAAUGUGGAGGCCAUAAUGA